GCAUAUCAAUAAGCGGAGGAAAAGAAACUAACAAGGAUUCCCCUAGUAACUGCGAAGUGAAGCGGGAAAAGCUUCAAAUUUAAAAUCUGGCAGUCUUCGAUUGUCCGAGUUGUAAUCUAGAGAAGCAUUAUCCGCGCUGGACCGUGUACAAGUCUCCUGGAAUGGAGCGUCAUAGAGGGUGAGAAUCCCGUCUUUGACACGGACUGCCAGGGCUUUGUGAUGUGCUCUCAAAGAGUCGAGUUGUUUGGGAAUGCAGCUCAAAAUGGGUGGUAAAUUCCAUCUAAAGCUAAAUAUUGGCGAGAGACCGAUAGCGAACAAGUACCGUGAGGGAAAGAUGAAAAGAACUUUGGAAAGAGAGUUAAACAGUACGUGAAAUUGCUGAAAGGGAAACGCUUGAAGUCAGUCGCGUUGUCCGGGAAUCAACCUUGCUUUUGCUGGGCGUACUUCCUGGUCAACGGGUCAGCAUCAAUUUUGACCGUUGGAUAAAGUUGCUGGGAAUGUGGCAUCUUCGGAUGUGUUAUAGCCCAGUUUCGCAUACAACGGUUGGGAUUGAGGAACUCAGCACGCCGCAAGGCCGGGUUUUUAACCACGUUCGUGCUUAGGAUGCUGGCAUAAUGGCUUUAAUCGACCCGUCUUGAAACACGGACCAAGGAGUCUAACAUGCCUGCGAGUGUUUGGGUGGAAAACCCGAGCGCGUAAUGAAAGUGAAAGUUGAGAUCCCUGUCGUGGGGAGCAUCGACGCCCGGACUUGAACUUCUGUGACGGAUCCGCGGUAGAGCAUGUAUGUUGGGACCCGAAAGAUGGUGAACUAUGCCUGAAUAGGGUGAAGCCAGAGGAAACUCUGGUGGAGGCUCGUAGCGAUUCUGACGUGCAAAUCGAUCGUCAAAUUUGGGUAUAGGGGGCGAAAGACUAAUCGAACCAUCUAGUAGCUGGUUCCUGCCGA
rnacentral:rRNA from 1 species